rnacentral:tRNA from 1 species
GCUUCGGUGGCCGGUUCCGGCACGGGGUGUCCGCUUGCGGCGAGCUCGGCCCGGCCGGCGUCGAGGAGGGCGUUCGACGCGACCUCGAUCCGC